rnacentral:lncRNA from 1 species
CUGCAUAGGGUGUGACUAUCAGGAACCAUGGCUCACUGGAGCACCAUCUUUGGAGUCUAGCUAACACAGCAUCUUGGAUGCACUCCUAAGAGAAGACUACCUGAAAGGCGUGUACACUGGUCUAGCAGUUGAGAUCAGCUAGUGUUCCAUCUAUCUUCUGUCAUGUCAGGGAAGACUCUCUGAUCCUCUCAUAAUUUACCUAUUGUUGAUUUCCUGAAUCUUUUUAAAUCCUUUGCAACUGAAGAUGGUCUCUCCAUCAGAGAAGCAAUUAACCAAAUGCCUGACUACAGCGUAUAUAGCAUCUGUUAUAAAAGCAUAAAAGGUUAACUUAAAUCCUGGCACACAAAGGAGAUGUCAGACCAGAACAAAUCAGCAUGGAAAUACCUGGAGGAGAUACAAGGUUAAGGUGGAGCAUAUGUACAGUCAAGAGGAUGUUCAUGACUAGUGGAAUGUGUUUUUCAGAUUGCAAAGACUGGAAGGAUGCUGGGCCAUGAAUAGGAAUUCUGUGAUUCAAGGAUAUUAUAACUUUUCAA